GACGAACCGUCCUAACGUUGUUCGGAAUCACUGGGCUUAAAGGGCGCGUAGGCGGUCGGCAAAGUUAGGGGUGAAAUCUUUCGGCUUAACCGGAAAAGUGCCUUUAAAACUAGUCGACUCGAGCGAGAUAGGGGCAUGUGGAACUUCCGGUGGAGCGGUGAAAUGCGUUGAUAUCGGAAGGAACGCCGGUGGCGAAAGCGGCGACCUGGUCCUUGACUGACGCUGAGGCGCGAAAGCGUGGGGAGCAAACAGG
rnacentral:rRNA from 1 species